AGCAAUGUAUUUAGCUUAUCGAUACUAAUAGGUCGAGGACUUGACCAAUAUUAUUUGAUGUCAUUCAUUAAGAUAUAUGUGCAGUUUUUAGAGUGUUAACUCUAAAAAAAAAUAAAAAAAGUAUUGACAAAAAUAGUAAAAAAUGUUAAUAUUAUACUUGUCCUAGCAACAAGAAAAAAUGUGGUUAUAAUAGCGGAGGAGAUACACCUGUUUCCAUUCCGAACACAGAAGUUAAGUUCUCUAGCGCUGAUGGUACUUGGUGGGAAACUGCCUGGGAGAGUAGGACAUAGCCACGUGAAUGUUCCAAGGUAGCUCAACGGUGGAGCAACCGGCUGUUAACCGGUAGGCUGUGGGUUCGAGCCCCACCCUUGGAGCCAUUAUGGCUCGUUGGUCAAGAGGUUAAGACACCGCCCUUUCACGGCGGUAACAGGGGUUCAAUUCCCCUACGAGUCACCAUUUGUGGGAUCAUAGCUCAGCUGGGAGAGCACCUGCCUUACAAGCAGGGGGUCACAGGUUCGAGCCCUGUUGGUCCCACCAUUUGCGGCCUGGUAGUUCAGUUGGUUAGAAUGCCAGCCUGUCACGCUGGAGGUCGAGGGUUCGAGCCCCUUCCAGGUCGCCAAAAUAAAAAUGCUGGUGUGGCUCAACGGUAGAGCAGCUGACUUGUAAUCAGCAGGUUGUAGGUUCGAUUCCUAUCACCAGCUCCAUGUAAAACUAAUACGGAGGAUUUCCCGAGCGGCCAAAGGGGGCAGACUGUAAAUCUGUUGUCAUCGACUUCGGUGGUUCGAAUCCACCAUCCUCCACCAAUUAAAUAUGCGGGUGUAGCUCAAUGGUAGAGUUCUGGCCUUCCAAGCCAGCUGUGAGGGUUCGAUCCCCUUCACCCGCUCCAAAGAAAGCGUGGGUGCAUAGCUCAGCUGGAUAGAGCAACGCCCUUCUAAGGCGUGUGUCCGGGGUUCGAAUCCCUGUGCGCUCACCACAUAUAUAUUGGGGAUUAGCCAAGUCGGUAAGGCACAUGACUUUGACUCAUGUAUGCGUAGGUUCGAGUCCUGCAUCCCCAGCCAAAUAAAAAUAUGGUCUAUUAGCUCAGUCGGUAGAGCACCUGACUUUUAAUCAGGGUGUCCCGCGUUCGAGUCGCGGAUAGAUCACCAAUGGAGAGGUGUCCGAGUGGUUUAAGGAGCUGGUCUUGAAAACCAGUGACUUCGAAAGGGGCCGUGGGUUCGAAUCCCACCCUCUCCGCCAAAAAAAUGACUGAAUUUGGANUGGAAGGGCCAUCGCUCAACGGAUAAAAGCUACCCUGGGGAUAACAGGCUUAUCUCCCCCAAGAGUCCACAUCGACGGGGAGGUUUGGCACCUCGAUGUCGGCUCAUCACAUCCUGGGGCUGUAGUAGGUCCCAAGGGUUGGGCUGUUCGCCCAUUAAAGUGGUACGCGAGCUGGGUUCAGAACGUCGUGAGACAGUUCGGUCCCUAUCCGUCGCAGGCGUAGGAAAUUUGAGAAGACCUGUCCUUAGUACGAGAGGACCGGGAUGGACGUACCUCUGGUGUACCAGUUGUCCUGCCAAGGGCAUGGCUGGGUAGCUAUGUACGGAAUGGAUAAGCGCUGAAAGCAUCUAAGCGCGAAGCCAACUUCAAGAUAAGAUUUCCCACCGCAAGGGUAAGACCCCAGAAAGACUAUCUGGUUGAUAGGUCGAAGGUGUAAGUGCAGCAAUGUAUUUAGCUUAUCGAUACUAAUAGGUCGAGGACUUGACC
rnacentral:rRNA from 1 species